UACGUAGGGUGCAAGCGUUAAUCGGAAUUACUGGGCGUAAAGCGUGCGCAGGCGGUGAUGUAAGACAGAUGUGAAAUCCCCGGGCUCAACCUGGGAACUGCAUUUGUGACUGCAUCGCUGGAGUACGGCAGAGGGGGAUGGAAUUCCGCGUGUAGCAGUGAAAUGCGUAGAUAUGCGGGAGGAACACCGAUGGCGAAGGGCAAUCCCCCUGGGCCUGUACUGACGCUCAUGCACGAAAGCGUGGGAGCAAA
rnacentral:rRNA from 1 species